GAACAGGAUUAGAUACCCUGGUAGUCCACGCCGUAAACGGUGGGCGCUAGAUGUGGGGACCCUUCCAUGGUUUCUGCGUCGCAGCUAACGCAUUAAGCGCCCCGCCUGGGGAGUACGGUCGCAAGACUAAAACUCAAAGGAAUUGACGGGGGCCCGCACAAGCAGCGGAGCAUGCGGCUUAAUUCGAUGCAACGCGAAGAACCUUACCUAGACUUGACAUAUACGGAAAACAUGCAGAGAUGUAUGGUCCUAACGGGCCGUUUACAGGUGGUGCAUGGUUGUCGUCAGCUCGUGUCGUGAGAUGUUGGGUUAAGUCCCGCAACGAGCGCAACCCUCGUUCUAUGUUGCCAGCACGUAAAGGUGGGGACUCAUAGGAGACUGCCGGGGUCAACUCGGAGGAAGGUGGGGAUGACGUCAAAUCAUCAUGCCCCUUAUGUCUAGGGCUGCACGCAUGCUACAAUGGCUGGUACAGAGGGCUGCGAUACCGCAAGGUGGAGCGAAUCCCAAAAAGCCAGUCUCAGUUCGGAUUGGGGUCUGCAACUUGACCCCAUGAAGUUGGAGUUGCUAGUAAUCGCAGAUCAGCAACGCUGCGGUGAAUACGUUCCCGGGCCUUGUACACACCGCCCGUCACGUCACGAAAGUCGGUACACCCGAAGCCGGUGGCCUAACCGUAAGGAA
rnacentral:rRNA from 1 species